rnacentral:rRNA from 1 species
CAAUAGCGUAUAUUAACGUUGUUGCAGUUAAAAAGCUCGUAGUUGGAUUUCUGGAGGGAGCGUCGGCCCGUAUUUACGAGUGCGUGACGUCUCUGUCCAUCCUUGCGGGAAGGCACGGCAAUGACUUGUUGUGUCGGAUCGCAUCAUUUACUGUGAAAAAAUUAGAGUGUUCAAAGCAGGCUUUCGCUUGAAUACAUUAGCAUGGAAUAAUAAGAUAGGACUUUGGUGCUAUUUUGUUGGUUGAGCCUAAAGUAAUGAUUAAUAGGGAUAGUUGGGGGCACCUGUAUUGCGUUGUCAGAGGUGAAAUUCUUGGAUUUACGCAAGACAAACAGCUGCGAAAGCGUCUGCCAAGGAUGUUUUCAUUAA